GAUGAACGCUGGCGGCGUGCUUAACACAUGCAAGUCGAACGAAGUAUAGUGAAUCGAGUUCUUCGGAACAAUUGAAGCUGUACUGAGUGGCGGACGGGUGAGUAACGCGUGGAUAACCUGCCUUACACUGGGGGACAACAGUUGGAAACGACUGCUAAUACCGCAUAAGCGCACAGUACCGCAUGGUACGGUGUGAAAAACUCCGGUGGUGUAAGAUGGAUCCGCGUCUGAUUAGCUAGUUGGUAGGGUAAUGGCCUACCAAGGCAACGAUCAGUAGCCGGCCUGAGAGGGUGUACGGCCACAUUGGGACUGAGACACGGCCCAGACUCCUACGGGAGGCAGCAGUGGGGAAUAUUGCACAAUGGGCGAAAGCCUGAUGCAGCGACGCCGCGUGAGCGAAGAAGUAUUUCGGUAUGUAAAGCUCUAUCAGCAAGGAAGAUAAUGACGGUACUUGACUAAGAAGCCCCGGCUAACUACGUGCCAGCAGCCGCGGUAAUACGUAGGGGGCAAGCGUUAUCCGGAUUUACUGGGUGUAAAGGGAGUGUAGGUGGCAUGGCAAGUCAGAAGUGAAAGCCCGGGGCUCAACCCCGGGACUGCUUUUGAAACUGCCAAGCUAGAGUGCAGGAGAGGUAAGUGGAAUUCCUAGUGUAGCGGUGAAAUGCGUAGAUAUUAGGAGGAACACCAGUGGCGAAGGCGACUUACUGGACUGUAACUGACACUGAGGC
rnacentral:rRNA from 1 species